AUGCGACUGUGAUUGUGCAACUAACAUAAGAUUCCAAACUCAUUACUAGAUGUCGUCACUAUCGUUCUUGUUGUUCCUACGUUCCUUAUGUCAUGAACGGGACGAAAUGGCCGAAACAAAUUGUUGUUAAUUAAGUUAUUAUACUUCUAAUCCUGUGAUUUCAAAUAUCAAAUUGAACUUCGUAUCUUAUAUGCAUAGCUACUGUCAGUCAUCCCAACAAGUUGACUAGGCGCUCAGUCAUUUUCCAUGGUCCAUUAGAUCCUCAUUCUGUCAAAAGCCUAAAACUCAUGUUUGAAGCACACACAAAUGUGCGGAAUACAAAUGUGCGGAGAUAAGGUAUUUUCCCAUUACUGCUACCACACCAACCACACCACGUCAGAUGCCUUAGCCUUACUAAAUCAUCACCCAUAUGAUGAAGCGUCAGGAAAUUUAUCUCAAUUUGAGGAGUAAUGCUGUUGGUUGCUG